rnacentral:rRNA from 1 species
AAUUCGAUGAUACGCGAGGAACCUUAACCUGGGCUCGAACGUAAGAUGACUGUAGGUUGAAAGCUUACAUCUCUUCGGAGCAUUUUACGAGGUGCUGCAUGGUUGUCGUCAGCUCGUGCCGUGAGGUGUCGGGUUAAGUCCCAUAACGAGCGCAACCCCUACCUUUAGUUGCCAUCAGGUUAAGCUGGGGACUCUAAAGGAACUGCCUACGCAAGUAGUGAGGAAGGCGGGGAUGACGUCAAAUCAGCACGGCCCUUACGUCCAGGGCUACACACGUGCUACAAUGGCCGAUACAGAGGGCAGCUACCUGGUGACAGGAUGCAAAUCUCCAAAGUCGGUCUCAGUUCGGAUCGGAGUCUGCAACCCGACUCCGUGAAGUUGGAUUCGCUAGUAAUCGCGCAUCAGCCAUGGCGCGGUGAAUACGUUCCCGGGCCUU